AUCCUGGAGAGAAUACACUGAGCAACUAUCUGAGAACUAUGAAGAGUAAAAAGCAGAGCAAUUGGAGAAGAUCAGAAUUUGAACUAUAAGCAAACUGGCAGUGAUUCCUCUAGCAACUCCAGGCCUAGACUCAACUCAUCCUGAAAUUUGGGGGUGCUCAUCAGCAUGGAUAGAGGAACUACUAAAAGAAACUGUCUAGUUUUGGGGUAGAAAAGGUCGGACGCUAUGAACUUCACUGACCUGCAUCCAAGUGGAGCAAACUUCUAAAACUUUUAGGAUGGGAGGAAAUCACCUGCAGGCCAGCUAUGCUCUGCAGCUGGAGCAAAUUAUAUCAGAGAAGUGCUGAUGUGACCACAAGUUGACAAAAGGACAUGAUUUCUAGUAGCAAAAAAGCAACUAGAUUUUAUGAAAUUGUAUCUAAUAAUGUUGUUUAACUCAUGGAUCCUGCAUCUGACGCCUGCUUUUUAUCCAGUCCUUUCAGCGGCCCUUUGUUAACAGUCACUCAGAAGAGGAAAUAAAAUGUAGCCAUUGAAAUAAAAAUUGCUCUACUCUUUUUAAUAGCUCA